GGGCUCAUUUUGGCAGCACAUACACCAAUAUUAAACAAUAUAGAAUAUUAGCAUGACCCUGCUCAAAGAUGACACAAAAAUUGUAGAUUGUCCCAUGUGGAA
rnacentral:snRNA from 14 species